AUCUCAGAUAUUAUUACAAACAAUAAUUAAUAUUGCGUACAGAAGCAAAAGAGCCAGAUAGCACCGGUUCGGCAGGGAUACAAAAUCUCGUGCAUACAGGUAUUAUUUAGGAGGGGUGAUUUAUAACUAUAGUGAUUAGUUACGUAACCAAGAUUAAGGCCUGUAACACACAAGAUUGAUUAAUUAAUUAAUUAAAACAAUUAGAAGUGGUGGUGCUUCUUUCCAUUAGCCUCUUCUUCCUCUUUCUUGGUUUCUUUCUUCUCAUGAUGCUCAUGGAAUGCAAAUCCACCGGUUCCAACUGCAGCUGCCGCGGCAAUCUCCUCUUCUAUCUUGUGCCUGUGUGCAUGCUCUGGGUCUUUCUUUGCCUCGUGCUUCUCAUACUAAAUUAUUAAAGCAACAAAUUAAUAAAUAUGGAAUCAUAAAAAAAAAAACUAUACAUGGCUUGCUGAUUUUCUUGAGCUUUCAUUAAAAAAAAAAACAGGGAGAAAAAAUAAUUGUUUAAUAAAAACAAGGAUUGAUAUAUAGGCCUGGAAUUUUUACUGGUGUCCAGAAAAAUAAUUGAUUAAAGAUAUGAAGCAAGGCCUUUUUUUUUCUAUAAAAUAUAUAUUUUUUAAGAUUUAUUUUUAAUUUAGCAGCUCAAAAAAAUUUAAAAAUAUAAAAAAAAUUUAAGAAAUUUCAAACACAUAAUUAGACUGUAAAUAGUAUCAGUAAAAAUUAUAUACACACAUGUUAUUUGUUUGUAGCUCUUGCAUUGAAAUAUUUAACAUGAGAGAAUCCCAUAUCAAUCACACACUCUUCUAUACACAAUCCACCAACUUACCCUUUUUUGUAAAAAAAAUAAAAACAUAUAACAAUAACCAUUCUAAAAAAACAAUGAUCGAAAACAGUUGUUUUUUAAAAAGAUUGAUUAGUACAUGAAAUAAAAGAAUACCUUAAAAAAAAUAUUAACCAGAAUAUAUAUAUAGUAACAGACAGAAUUUAAAUUAGCGAGGUACAACUGACAAAACAUUGUACCAUGGAAAAAGCACCAGCGGCAGCAGCUCCAAGCUCACCAACGUGCUCAAGAUUCUUGUGAUGCUUCUCUUCUUUUCUGUAAUCAACAUCUGGGACAGGAGCAUCAUAACCUGUGACAGUCUCUGAAUACUCAGCGGUCUCAGAGUAGACACCGGCCUCAACUGGUUUCUCCUCGCUCUUGUGGUGGUGGAAGAGGCCAUGGUGGUGCUUCUCUUCAGCCAUGCUCGCAGAAGGUAUUAGAACAAGAAUGAGGCAAGAGCGUGUUGGGAAGGUUUUUAAUGUAAUGGUGUGUUGUGGUAUAGCUUGAAUUUGUGGGGCUAUUUAUAAGUGCAUGAUGGCAAAUUGAGUGACUCGUUCUAGUCUCCUCUGUAAUCUUGAUUAAAAAAGUAAAUACACGUUAGAUGGAUGAUUAGGAUAUCUGGGAUCACGGAUUAUUUAAUUAUCUAUUACUUUUAAUAAAGUUCUUUGCACGUAUCGUCAUGGAGGAAAUUAAAUAUGGUUGCUUUUAACAAAAAAUAUUAAACCCUAGAAUACACUGUAUCAUCUCUUUCGAACCAAGCGUAAAUAAAAAAAUCUAUAUUUAAAUAAUUCUUUUGAUUUUUUGUUCAAUUUUUGGAUAUUAUUUAGUUAAAAUACACGUAAAUUAACUCGAAUAUAUAUAUUAAUAAAUAAAUAAAUAAUAUAUAUAUAUAUAUAUAUAUAUAUAUAUAUAUAUAUUUGGUGAUAGAAAACUACCAUUUACCACAAUGCAUCUUCUUUAAAUUUUAUCCUAAGCUAAAAUUCCAAAAUGAGGUGUUAAGGACAAUCAAAAUUCAUUUUAAAAAUUAUACAAUUCAGAAAUGAAAAGGCAGAGUGGCAUGAUUAUAGUAAACCUAUCAAUAUAGUUGAUUUUUAUCAAAAACCAAUCUCAAUCCAAUAGCUUAAGCUGUUAGGUGAAGUUUCAGGAUAUGAUUUAUAUUAUUCUCUAACACACUCCCUCAAGUGAAAGCCCUUUAAGCUUGAAACUUGCACAAUCUCAUAUUACCUUAUGUUUAAUUUUAUCAAAUAAAUAAAGAUGAUGGGAUUCAAACUCGUAACCAUUAGGUCAUCAAGGCUUUGAUACCAUAAAAGAAUCAUCUCAACCCAAUAGCUUAAGCUGUUAGGUGAGGUUACAGGUUAUGAUUUAUAUUAUUCUCUAACUAUUUUCAUUAGCUUGGCUGAUCAAUAAAGAAAAAUCAAGUAUAUUGAAUUAAGGAUUAAAUGCGUUAAUAAAAUUCAAUUUUUAAUUUUUAAAAAAAUUAUUAAAUGAACUUGAUUCAUAUAUAUAUACCCAAUUCAUACCCAUAUUACAGAAAUUCUUUAUAAAAAUCAAUAAUAAUUGUUGAAAUACAUGGCAUCUAUCAGUUAAAACGUUUUAGUUGGCAUGAAAUUUGUUUAAUUUAAUAAUCAUCCCUGCAUCUUUUCAUAAAUUUCGUGUUCAUUAUCAACUCGAAAGUUUAAGUUAUUCCUAAAGAAAGUAGAAGAAUGAUUCGCAAGUAGAUGCAGAUUUGCUCCAUCCCUUUAAUUUCAUUAGCGAGAUUACUUAAUAACUUUUUAAAAAAAAAUUAGGUUUUUGAUAAUGAUUUAUAUAAAUAGUGAGGCAUUUAUAUAUAUAUAUUAUUUUAUAACAAUUUCAUGUCGUAAGUCAGUACAUUGAGAUGCGCAUGAUAGUAUACGCAGGGUGCGGUUUUGGAUGCUGCUUGUAGCAAUAUUUUUAUGCGGAUGAUAUGUUUUUUUGUUUAUUUUUAUUUUUGAAAAAAAAAGGGUGGAUGCACGUGCCUACCUUUUUUUCUCUUUAUUUUUCUUUGAUUUUAUUUUACAUUUUGAAAAACAUUUACCAGAUUCAUUAACUUUGCAAUUUUAACACGAUUCUUAGAUAUUAUUAUAAUUUUUUUAAAAAACUUUUAAUAAUUAUUUUCUUAAUUAUUAUGUAUCUGAUAUAAAAAAAUAAUAAUACCAAUAAUAAAUUGUUCAUGAAAAUUUAAUUCAAGUCUUUUUUAAUCUUUAAAUAAAUUUUUAAUAUGAUUUUAUCAUAUUUAUAAUUUAUAAUUUUAUCUUUCAAUCACAUAUAAAAUAUUAACAUAUUAUUUUAAUAUUUUUUAAAAUUAAUUUAACAAUCAUAAUUUUUUUAACAGAAUAAUGAUUUUAAUUAAAAAAAUUAUAUUCACUAAAAGAAACAGGAGAUAUAUUAAUAAAAAAAUUAUUUUAAUUGAAAAAAAAUUCAAAUCAACUAUAUUUUUUGUUUAAUAACAGUAUAAGUUUUUUUUCAAAGAUUUGAAUGUCUUUUUUUUUCAUUAAAAAAAAAUGUAUUCCUCUACCUUAUGCAUGGGCAUACGAACUAGUUAAAAAAAAAAAAAAAAACUUAAAAGCCAUUAAUGUUUUAUUAUGACUUUCGACACAUUGCACAGCUCAUUGUAAUAUUGUAAUCAUGUUUUUACACUUUUUAUAAAAUUGACAAAGCUUGCAAUUGAGAUAAAAUAAUAUUUUUAAAGGGAUUUAUUAGAUAUUAUAAAAUUGAUCAGGAAUAUAUUGAUUCAUAUAUUUUUUUUAUAAUGUUAUUAUUUGACAUUACAUUAUUGACUUAUGAAUUUUAUGAUCUUUUCAUUUUUGUUUAGAGUUAUCUAAGAUAUGAAUUAGUUAAAUUAACCAAAAUUAUCUUUGUUUAGUUUCUAAUAUUUUUUAUUUUUUUUUGGUUUUUUUACUAGUUUUUUCUUUUAAAGUUUAAUUUUUUUUUUAUGAUCUCAUAUUAUAAUCAUGAAUGGUUAAUUAAUCGAAUCUAUCUGAGUUAAUUCAAAAAAAAAUUUAACAUAAUUUUUUUAAUUAAACUAAAUUGAAUCGUGUUAUUAUCACCUUAAAAAUUAAACUCCAUCCGCAAUAUAUAGGGAGUCAACUAUCUAAUGUUAUCUGUGCUAAAUGAAGGUGCCUUGUCAAUUAGAAUAUAUGAUAUUUUUAUAGGUCUUUAAGUGCCUAUUUAGAACUGCGAUGCAACUUGUUUUUUGUAUAAUUUUAAUUUUUUUUUAUUAAAAUUAAGUUCGGUUUGUAUUUUCUAGAUCGUUUUGAUGUGCUGAUAUCAAAAAUAAGUUUUAAAAAAUAAAAAAAUAUUAUUGACAUACUUUUCAGUACAAAAAGCUAUUUGAAAAGCAACAACUACUACAUUUUGAAAUAUCCUCUGAAUCUCGAAGGAUGAUGGGAUCGUUGCCCCGAGGAUGUAAUCGAACCGCUGCUUUUCAAAUAAAUAAAAAUAUAUUUCCUUUCAAUCUUUCAAACCUCACAUAAGCUUUAAGGAAAAACAAAGGGAGAAGAAAGAAAGGGCUGUUUCGUAGAUCUUGACCAAGUUCGAGCUGUUAAUAUGGGCGGUGGUGAGGGCCCACUGAAUGGCAGUUGAAGUUUUGGCUCGUGUCGGCAAAGGUAUUAUUAAAGCAUUUAAACCAGCUGGGGUCGGUGUCAGUGUUCCUCCUCCCCAGUUUACAGCUUAUUUAUUUAUUUAUUUAUUCAUAUCCCCAUCACCGGUCACCAACAAAAUCAAAACCUCAGAACCUUACCCCACCAGAAAACAUCUAAAUUUCGUUUCAAAUGCUGCUGAUUUUCAACUUCAAACAAGCAAAACACCAACACCACAAAAAACCCAUCUUUGAUCACCAAAAUAGUACAAAAUGUAAUAGACAGGGGGAAGAAGAAUAUAAAAAAAACAGAUUACCUUGCUUUCAUGGAGACUAACUGCACUACUUCUAGCCAUGAAACUAGCACUUCUUCUUCUUCUUCAAGGCAAUAUGCGAAAAGCAAAAUCUAAUAACUCAAUUUAGAUCUUUUUAAGACCGACCCAAUUGAAAUCUCACUUCACAAAGUAAAACCAAACGCAAAAGAGUCAAUCUUUUUACGUCUAAUUACCAUAACUUUCAUUCACCGUCGAAGCUUAUAAAAUAUCAAAUGGGUAUCCUUUAAAUUUUUCAAAAUUCACACAUUUUGAGGCCGGGGGGGGGGGGACGAUGGUAGCAAUAAAUGGUAAAUCUCAGGGGGAGUAGAAAUGGGUUUGAGGAGGUGGAGGAUAAGGACUUGAGCGCAUUAUAGCAGGUUUGUGCGCAUGAGUGGUAAAGUGCGCAUUGAGUGUUAAGCAGGACUUGAGAGACGACAAAAGUAAGCGACCGAAAGGGAUUUUUUUGAAAAAAUAAUGUAGUGAAAAACGGUAACAUUUCAAAUCUAUCAUCCAGAUAAAUUAUUGGCAAGUCAAAUGCUAAGAGGAAAAAAUUACAAAAAAAAAAAAAACAAUCAUAUAAAAAAAAUUAAAAUUAAAAUUUAAUAAUUAAAAAAAUCAAAUAGAAAAGUAAAGGACAAUUAGAAAUUUUUAUGGAAGAGCGAAAUUAAAAAAAAAAUAACUUGAAUAAAAUAAUAAAAAAAUUAGAAUCAAAUUGAUAAAAAUAAUAAUAUCAUAAAUUUAGAUUGAAUGAUGAAAUUGAAAACCAAUGAAACUUUUAUAAAAUGACCAAUUAAAAAAUUAAAAGAAAAAGGAAUAAAUUGAAAAAAGUAAUAUGUAACAAAAUAAAAUUGAAAUAAAAAAAUUAAAAAUCAAAAAAAUAAAAUUUAAAGUUAAAAUAUCAAUAGCAAGAGGAUGAACCUAUAAUCUUCAAAGGUGGAGAGGAAGAGGAGGAAAAAGAUUAACAAAAAAAAAAAAACUCUAUUAGUGAUAAUUCAUCUUACCACCAUUAAGAUGCACAAUAUUAACAGAAAGAGGACACAACUUUUUUUAUUUAAAAAGUAAACUUGUGAUUUUAAUGUAUUUAAAAAAAUAUAAACAAACUUGUGUGUCACUUUUAAAAUUUUUUAUUUGAAUGAUAAUUAAAUUAUUGUUUUGUGCUUUAAAAAUUAGAAAAAAAAACAUAUAUAUUCUUGAUAAAUUUUUUAAUGACUAAUUCACUAUAUGAAAAUGCCAAAAUACUUUCAAAACCAAAGCAUUUUAUUUUCUUGAACAAAAUCGUUAUUAUAUUAUAGUGGUGAAUGGUAAAAUGUGUAUUUUGGCCAUAGUGAAUGUGACUUAUGUUUUAGUUGUUUUGUUAUUCAAUGGACCUUAUAAUGUAUCAAGAAAAUAAAUUGACAAUUUAUUUGUCAUUAUAUUAAGAUCGCAAUUUUACUCAAAGUUUAAAAAAACUAUCUGGUAGAGCUUCAUUUAUAUUCUUAAUUAAAGAAAAGGAGGGAUUAGAAAAAUAUUUAGGAAUAUUUGUUUUUAUGGUUGAAUAUGUUUUUUAAAGUGAUUUUUCAAUUAUUUUUUGUUUAGAAAAAAUAUUUUUUAAUUAUUCUGAUAUAUUAAUAUUACAGAUUAAGACAAAAAAAUAAUUUAUACAUAUUUUAAAUUAAAAAUUAUUUUUGAAUAAAAACAUUGCAUUAUAUUGCCGAACACGUACUCAAUCAAAUAGCAAUAACAAGUGCAAUUGAAGCCAACGAAUGAACGUCAUAAAAUGAUAAGCAAAAACGACGAAGUAACAGCCACAAUUAAAUUUUAGAUAUAAAUGAAACCAAACAAGGGUUAAUGAAACCCAAAAUGCUGGGAUCAGUACUGAUUUUCCCAGGCAAGGAGCAAGACACGUGUUGAGCCAGACGUACAGGCUCGGGAAAGAGAUUGUAUCGUAUGGAUUAGGUUAGUGGGCUCUCGGAAACGUGUAUAUGGUGACAGGCCACGUUUGUAAUGGACCAUAAGAUGAUAAUGAGAGGUCAGCAUCCUAAAAUAUAGCAAAGAAAAACAUUAACAUCGAUGAUCGGGAUAGUUACACACACAAUUAAUGUUAAUGACGUGUAAAACUGUGCGUCGCAGGUUAAUCCAGGACCGGCCGAUCUGAAAUCUUCAUCGGAUUUCAAAUAGACAGAACAUCUGCUUGCAAUUGCCUAGUCAAAUGAUGACUUAGAUCAUCCACUCUAGAUAAGAUUUAAUACUUUUUAUAUUUAUUUAGUAAAUUUUAAAAAUAAAAAUUAAUUUAUAAAUAUUUAGAUUAAAAUUUAAAUACUUAUAAAAUAUUUCUUCAAUUUUUUAAUAUAAAAUAAUUAUAUAUGUAGCCAUUUUUUUUUUAACUUUCUAAUAUAAAAUAGUUAUAUUUAUAGUCUAUAAUAUUCCACAUGGAAUAUUUUUUAACUUUUUAAUAUAAAAUAUUAAAAUAUUAAAUAUUUAUUUAAUUUUUUUAAAAUUAACUCAGAUUAAUUUAUGAUUUAAAAUCCGAUUUCUUAAACAGUCAACCCCGGGCUGGUUGGUUUUUGUAGCUAUGUUUCAAACAUCCAGGGUCUCUUUGUACCGACACCUGAUCUUGACGCCAUGUUCCCCAUCCUUCUUUGAAAUAAAAUUAAAAUCCAUUAUACAGCUUACCAACUUUUCGCUGCAGGGGUUUUGGUGAAAGAACAAGUGUCGAUUGGGCAAUGUCAUCCUUGCCCGAGAAAAGAUUUUUGGUAAUCUACAGUAAUUGAGUGAUAUUUUAUUAAUUAUUUAUUAAUUUUUUUAAAAACAUAAAUCUCUUUCUUUUUUUAAAAAAUAGAAAUAAAUCAUAAUAGAAUGUUAAUAGUCACUUAAUAUCACAAAGUUUAUUAUCCUACUUUUUUAAAAUUAUUUUUUAUUUAAUUAUUUUUUAAAAAAAUUUAACCAUUACAUGAUACAAGAUAGUUUUUUUAAUGCUGCAAUAAUUAUAUAAAAAACAAAUUAAAAUAAAUUUUAAAUUUUAAACUUUAAACCCAAUAAAUAUAUUAUAUAAAAAUUAAAUUAAAAAAAAUCAAUAACCAAAAGAAAAAAAGUAAAUAAAAUAUAAAAAUAAAGACCACCAUAAAUUAUUAUUGUAAUUCACAGAACAGAUAAAAAUAUUUUCACACACUUUUUAGCUUUAGUUCUAAUUAUAAUAUAAUAGUAAUAUUAUUUAUAUUAUAGUUUUAGAAACUCGUCAAGAAAAAUCUAAAAAAAGGAAAAAGAAAAAGCUUCUACAGAAUUUGAUAAUGCCAGCCCUACCGGGGUAGAUUAGGGAAACCUCACAAAGGGAAAACCCUUCCGGACGGAUCUGGGUCAACGGGUGCCAUUAUUGUGGGAAGUGGUCUGCAGAUCAUGCAAUAUUUCAAACUUGACCACCUGCACCAGUACACCUUGGUUAUGUUGUGCACUGCAGGAGGCUCGGGAUAUCUGGAGCCAGCAGAUCCACGUAUGCAGUUUUUUUUAAUUUUUUUGUUGUCCCAACAAUUGAAAUCCACAUCAUUAUGGGUUAAUUCAGCGUCAAAAUCAUACUUGAUAGUUUAGUUCAUUCGUCAACUGCAAGACUUGAUUUUGUAAAUAUCCUGGGUUCGAUUCUUAAAAAUACCAGCCUGUCACCCCUGCGGUGUCUUACCUGCCUACUGGGCUUGCAGAAUAUUCAGUAAGCCCUGUAAUUAGUUGUGGUGCGUAUAAACUGGCCCGGACACCCAGGAUUAUAUAAAAAAAAAAAAUCAGCAUCAAAAUCCCAAAUGUCUAAGGAUAAACAAGAACACACUUGACAAGGAGUGACACGUUCUAAUCUGUGGGGCUAUUAUAGGUGCAUGAUGGCGAAGAGUGACUCGUUCUAAUCUCCUCUAUAAAUUAUAUCUUGGUUAAAAGUAAAUAAACGUUAGAUGGAUGAUUAGGAUAUCUGGGAUCACGGAUUAUUUAAUUAUCUAUUACUUUUAAUAAAGUUUUUUGCAUGUAUCAUCAUGGAGGAAAUUAGAUAUGGUUGCUUUGAAAAAAAAAAAAAACACUAGAAUACACUGUAUCAUCUCUUUCGAACCAACCGUAAAUAAAAAAUUCUAUAUUUAAAUAAUUCUUUUGAUUUUUGUGCAAUUUCUUGGAUAUUGGUCGUAACAUUGCUCUUCUUUUAUAAGAAAACACCACUAUAUAUGAAGAGCAGACAGUAUAAUUCAGUAUUAAUAAACAAGUAUAAAAUUGCGUACAAAAGCAAAAGAGCCAGAUAGCACCGGUUCGCCAGGGAUACAAAAAUCUCGUGCAUACAGGUAUUAUUUAGGAGGGGUGAUUUAUAACUAUAGUGAUUAGUUACCGUAACCAAGAUUAAGGCUGUAACACACAAGAUUAAUUAAUUAAUAAAAACAAUUAGAAGUGGUGGUGCUUCUUUCCAUUAGCCUCUUCUUCCUCUUUCUUGGUUGCUUUCUUCUCAUGAUGCUCAUGGAAUCCAAAUCCACCGGUUCCAACUGCAGCUGCCGCGGCAGUCUCCUCCUCUAUCUUGUGCCUGUGUGCAUUCUCUGGGUCCUUCUUUUCCUCGUGCUUCUCAU
rnacentral:lncRNA from 1 species